rnacentral:rRNA from 1 species
CGACGCCUUAACCGGAGCGUUUCAUUCGGGACAGAGGAGACAGGCUGGUGCAUGGUUGUCGUCAGCUCGUGUCGUGAGAUGUUGGGUUAAGUCCCGCAACGAGCGCAACCCCUAUCUUUAGUAGCCAGCAUUUAGGGUGGGCACUCUAGAGAGACUGCCAGGGAUAACCUGGAGGAAGGUGGGGAUGACGUCAAAUCAUCAUGCCCCUUAUGACCAGGGCUACACACGUGCUACAAUGGCGUAAACAAAGGGAAGCGAGCCCGCGAGGGGGAGCAAAUCCCAAAAAUAACGUCUCAGUUCGGAUUGUAGUCUGCAACUCGACUACAUGAAGCUGGAAUCGCUAGUAAUCGCGAAUCAGAAUGUCGCGGUGAAUACGUUCCCGGGCCUUGUACAC